UACGUAGGUGGCGAGCGUUGUCCGGAUUUACUGGGCGUAAAGGGCUCGUAGGCGGCCAACUAAGUCGGACGUGAAAUCCCCAGGCUCAACCUGGGAACUGCGUCCGAUACUGGAUGGCUUGAAUCCGGGAGAGGGAUGCAGAAUUCCAGGUGUAGCGGUGAAAUGCGUAGAUAUCUGGAGGAAUACCGGUGGCGAAGGCGGCAUCCUGGACCGGCAUUGACGCUGAGGAGCGAAAGCCAGGGGAGCAAACGGG
rnacentral:rRNA from 1 species